rnacentral:rRNA from 1 species
AUUGAACGCUGGCGGCAUGCCUUACACAUGCAAGUCGAACGGUAACAGGUCCUCGGAUGCUGACGAGUGGCGAACGGGUGAGUAAUACAUCGGAACGUGCCCGAGAGUGGGGGAUAACGAGGCGAAAGCUUUGCUAAUACCGCAUACGAUCUCAGGAUGAAAGCAGGGGACCGCAAGGCCUUGCGCUCACGGAGCGGCCGAUGGCAGAUUAGGUAGUUGGUGGGAUAAAAGCUUACCAAGCCGACGAUCUGUAGGUGGUCUGAGAGGACGACCAGCCACACUGGGACUGAGACACGGCCCAGACUCCUACGGGAGGCAGCAGUGGGGAAUUUUGGACAAUGGGCGCAAGCCUGAUCCAGCCAUGCCGCGUGCAGGAUGAAGGCCUUCGGGUUGUAAACUGCUUUUGUACGGAGCGAAAAGACUCUGGUUAAUACCUGGGGUCCAUGACGAUACCGUAAGAAUAAGCACCGGCUAACUACGUGCCAGCCGCCGCGGUAAUAC